rnacentral:rRNA from 1 species
CCUACGGGAGGCAGCAGUAGGGAAUCUUCCACAAUGGGCGAAAGCCUGAAGGAGCAACGCCGCGUGGGUGAAGAAGGUCUUCGGAUCGUAAAACCCUGUUGUUAGAGAAGAAAGUGCGUGAGAGUAACUGUUCACGUUUCGACGGUAUCUAACCAGAAAGCCACGGCUAACUACGUGCCAGCAGCCGCGGUAAUACGUAGGUGGCAAGCGUUAUCCGGAUUUAUUGGGCGUAAAGGGAACGCAGGCGGUCUUUUAAUUCUGAUGUGAAAGCUUUCGGCUUAACCGGAGUAGUGCAUUGGAAGCUGGGGGACAUGAGUGCAGAAGAGGAGAGUGGAACGCAAGGUG